rnacentral:rRNA from 1 species
CUUUGGGUUAGUCCCGUACGAGCGCAACCCCUAUCCCUAGUUGCUAGCAGUUCGGUCUGAGAACUCUAGGGAGACGUGCCGUGUUACCAACCGGAGGAAGGUGGGGAUGACAGUCAGGUCUUCUCUGUGGCCCUUACUGCCGGGGUUACCACGUGCAUACAAGGGUGCUGUACCGAGGGCUGCAAACCCGCGAGGGGGAGCUAAUCUCACAAAACGCAUCGUCAUCCGGAUCGGAGUCUGCAACUCGUACUCCCUGAAGUCGGAAUCCGCUAAUAAUCGCGGAAUCAAAAUGUCCGGGGUGAAUACGUUCCCGGGCCUUGUACACACCGCCC